rnacentral:lncRNA from 1 species
ACAGUUAAGUAUCUUUUUCCCCUAAAAAUUGUUCCUUUACACUAUAGCUUUUUAUAACCUUCCUCUUCUUCUAACUAAAUUUACACUUGUUUCUUGACAUUGUAGUGAAUUUUAUUGGAUUUUGCUUUUCUUUGUGGUGUAUUUCAGUUGGCAGUUUUAUUUUCCCUUUAUGGAGUUUGGUUGGUCCAGCUGAUGAGUUACUUUAAUUCGGAAGGUUAUUCAAUCAUUAGACUUCAGCCGACAGUAGAUUAAUUAAUUUAUUUAUAAUAAUACUCCGUAUGAUAAAAGUUUGAAAACAUCUGCAUUAUUGUGUUAAGAGUGUGGCUUAAUUUAUAUAUAUCUGAGAUAACUUUUCAAGAUUCUCUUAAUUCCCUAUUUUGACACGUAUUGUUAUUGAGAAUUUUACCUACAUGUUCCUCCUUUUUGCAAACUUGGUCAUUUUCUUGUUUUGUUUAUCAUUAGUGAAAAUGGUUUGUCAGUAGUUUUGAUUUUGAGGUACAUAAUCUGCACAUCUUUUACAUUUUGUGUUGAAAACUGAGGUAUGGUUGGUUGGAUCUUGUUAAAUGUUUCGAUUUUGUUUUAUUGGAUUUGAUGUGAUGAAAAUCUUGGAGUAGCUAGGUGGAUGGAUGAGCAUGAAAAUGAGGUGAUUAAGAUCUUGGCGCAGACUAAAAGCUAAAUUGUAACUUUCCUUCACAUUUUGUGACGUUGUUGUUAACUCAGGUCAAGAAUUUAGAGGCAAAAAUUGAAUUGUGUGAUGGAAUCAUCAUCAUCAUCAUCGUCAUCAAAGAGGGCCAAGGCACCAGGGAAUAUAGCUCAUUGCUUGGUUGAUGGGUGUAAUGCAGACCUCAGUGAAUGCAGAGAGUAUCAUCGCCGGCAUAAAGUUUGUGAGGUGCAUUCAAAGACUGCCAAAGUCACCAUUGCAGGUCGAGACCAACGCUUCUGUCAGCAAUGCAGCAGGUAAUGCCUCUUCUUCUCUGACUCAUUUUGUUGUCGUCUUAGACCAUAAUGCAGGGGCAGAGCUAAGUGGGUUGGACGAACCCAGUAACUUUUUGUACACCCUGUAUUUGUAUAAGAAUAUUAAAUAAAUAUAUGUGUAUGUAUAUUAACUUGUUCACCCCUAACAAAAGGAGCCGUGGAAAUGCUUUCCACGCUAGAACUCCUAAUUCUGGCGCCGCCUAUGCCCUAAUGCAUUCAAAUAAGUGAUACCGUGGAUCAAGUAAGGAAUCAAGCAGUCAUGAAAGGCAGGUUCUGUUUACUCCAUGUUCGUUGCGUUGGAGACAAUUGUUCGGUUAAAAAUUGAAAUUUCUCUGUGUAAGGGAAAAUGUCUAGUUGUUCAAUAUUUGGAAGAGCACAUUAAUUAGGAAGGUUAACUGAAACUUGAAUGGAUAGUAUGACAAUCUGGUGGCAUGUUGCUCUUCCCUUAGUUCCUACGCUUUCCAAGCUAUGUUACUUAUAUUUUAACGUAAUUAACGUUAAGUUCCAAGCUAGUAAACAAUUUUAAUGUAAUAGAGUUGGUGACAAGGUUUGUUCCGUUUAAAUGUUGGAAUUCCUCGUAAAGGCUAGAAAAUGAGCAAACUAAGAUGUUCAAUCCUCGGAAGAAGCGUAAAUUAGAAGAGUCAAGUGCAUUUAUUUAUGCCUGUAUAGAAUAACGACGUUCUUCUUUCUCCCAAAGUUAGACUUGUGACUUUGUUCUUGACCCUUGGUACACCAGAUAGUUCGGAAGAUUGUAAUUAGAGAGGUGUCUAGAUUGGCAUAGAAGGUCAUCUAGAUAGUGAGCUAAAAUUUUAGUGCUAGGAUUAAACCUAUUAAAAUAGAUCAUGAUCUUAAUUCUUAAUUAGAAUUCACUUGUCUCCAUUUCUUUCUGCCAACGUGAAGCUCAGCUUAACGAGUUCUGGCAUGUAGAGGAGUAUUGGUGUUUGAUGCAUUGCUUUCAAUUCUAAGAGUCAGAAUUUUUCCCUUUAUAAUGUAAUGUAAUGAUACCUAGAAGAAAUCUUCUGCUUUAUCAGCAAUUUAGAAUAGAAGUUGCUAGUUAGUCCUGUCCUAAAUGAUUGUCUGCCUUAGUUGUGCGGACUCUUCACUUUUGAUGCCGCACCCGUCUCGGAUUCUUCAAAAAUACACUACUUUUGGCGAAUCCGACAUGCACCCGUUGCCAUUUUUGAAGAGUCCGAGCAACAUAGUAAUGUCUGCUUGUUUAUUUUUCAGAUAGUAGCUUAGAUAAUUGAAGCUUUGACUAUAAGGUUUCUGCAGUUGUCCCAUCCCCAAUAAAUUUAUGUUACAGCAUUGUCUCAUUCUGAUUGGAUCCUUU